rnacentral:piRNA from 1 species
UGGAACUCUAGCCACAGACCAUGCCCUUUUC